rnacentral:misc_RNA from 1 species
GUCAAACUUGGUCAUUUAGAGGAAGUAAAAGUCGUAACAAGGUCUCCGUAGGUGAACCUGCGGAGGGAUCAUUACUGAGUGAGGGCUCACGCCCGACCUCCAACCCCAUGUGAACCGUACACUGUUGCUUCGGGGGCGACCCUGCCGUUUUGGCGGCGCGGCGCCCCCGGAGGUCAUCAAACACUGCAUCUUUGCGUCGGAGUCUUCUUUAAUAGAAACAAAACUUUCAACAACGGAUCUCUUGGUUCUGGCAUCAAUGAAGAACGCAGC